rnacentral:sRNA from 1 species
AAUAAGCGCGUUAGGGAUUGAAGUGACAUCCUUUUUAGUUUUUUCUAAAAAGAUAUAACGGAAAGCCCGCUCGAAC